rnacentral:rRNA from 1 species
CCCGUUGUGGUGCUCCCCCGCCAAUUCCUUUAAGUUUCAGCCUUGCGGCCGUACUUCCCAGGUGGCUCGCUUCACGGCUUCCCUACGGCACCGACAACGGUCGCACCGUGGCCGACACCUAGCGAGUAUCGUUUACGGCUAGGACUACCCGGGUAUCUAAUCCGGUUCGUGCCCCUAGCUUUCGUCCCUUGCCGUCAGGUCCGUUCUGGUGAGACGCCUUCGCCACUGGUGGUCCUUCAAGGAUUACAAGAUUUCACCCCUACCCCUGAAGUACCUCUCACCUCUCCCGGCCUCGGGCCGAACAGUAUCUCCUGAAAGCCCAACAGUUGAGCUGCUGGAUUUCUCAAGAGACUUAUCCGGCCGGCUACAGACCCUUUAGACCCAAUAAUAACGGUUACCACUCGAGCCGCCGGUGUUACCGCGGCGGCUGGCACCGGUCUUGCCCGGCCCUUGCUAUGCAAUGCUUUUUAGUGCAUCACGACAGCCAGAUUUGUAACCUGGCACUCGAGGUCCCCUUAUCGCCGUUGCCGGCAUUGUAAAGUUUUCGCGCCUGCUGCACCCCGUAGGGCCUGGAUUCGUGUCUCAGAAUCCAUCUCCGGGCUCUUGCUCUCACAACCCGUACCCGUCGUAGGCUAGUAGGUACGCUACACCCACUACUACCUGAUAGGCCGCAGACCCAUCCUCUGGCGCCGGAGCUUUCGAUCUCGGGGCAUUCCAGCGACCGAGAUCUAUCGGGGAUUAUACCCAGUUUCCCGGGUUUAUACCCGUCCGGAGGGUAGGUUGUCCACGUGUUACUGAGCAGUACGCCAUGUAUUGCUACAUUCGACUCGCAUGGCUUAGUCGAACCUCGAUAG